rnacentral:RNase_P_RNA from 2 species
CAAGUAAGUCAGAUGAUCGCAGGGGAUAACUCCCUUGAGGAAAGUCCGAGCUCCAUAGGGCAGGGUGCUGGUUAACGACCAGUGGAGGCGACUCUAAGGAUAGUGCAACAGAAAUAAACCGCCGGAUGAGUCCGGUAAGGAUGGAAAGGUGGUGUAAGAGACCACCGCCCCUUUGGUGACAAAGGGGGCUCUGUAAACCCCACCUGGAGCAAGAUGGUGAGCUCACCAUGGUUGCCCGCUAGAGCUCACGAUAGUAUCGCAGGAGCAUGCUGGUGACAGUAUGCCAAGAUAGAUGAUCAUCAAAUACAGAACUCGGCUUAUAGACUUGCUUGAAAU